rnacentral:rRNA from 1 species
AUGCCUCAGUACGGCGAGUGAGCGGCAAAAGCUCAAAUUUGAAAUCUGGCACUUUCAGUGUCCGAGUUGUAAUUUGUAGAAGUAGUUUUGGGACUGGUCCUUAUCUAUGUUUCUUGGAACAGGACGUCAUAGAGGGUGAGAACCCCGUAUGAUGAGGCCCCCAGUCCUUUGUAAAACGCUUUCGAAGAGUCGAGUUGUUUGGGAAUGCAGCUCUAAGUGGGUGGUAAAUUCCAUCUAAAGCUAAAUAUUGGCGAGAGACCGAUAGCGAACAAGUACAGUGAUGGAAAGAUGAAAAGAACUUUGAAAAGAGAGUGAAAAAGUACGUGAAAUUGUUGAAAGGGAAGGGCAUUUGAUCAGACAUGGUGUUUUGCGCCCUUUGCUCCUUGUGGGCGGAGGAUACGCAGCUCACUGGGCCAACAUCAGUUUUGGGAGCAGGAUAAAUCUGUAGGAACGUAGCUUUCUUCGGGAAGUGUUAUAGCCUAUGGGAAUACUGCUACCUGGGACUGAGGACUGCGUCUUUUGACAAGGAUGUUGGCAUAAUGGUUAAAUGCCGCCCGUCUUGA